AAACCAACAGGGAUUACCUCAGUAACGGCGAGUGAAGCGGUAACAGCUCAAAUUUGAAAUCUGGGUCUUUCAGGCUCCGAGUUGUAAUUUGUAGAAGAUGCUUCGGGUGCGGCUCCGGUCUAAGUUCCUUGGAACAGGACGUCAUAGAGGGUGAGAAUCCCGUAUGUGAUCGGUUGCUUGCGCCCAUGUGAAGCUCUUUCGACGAGUCGAGUUGUUUGGGAAUGCAGCUCAAAAUGGGUGGUAAAUUUCAUCUAAAGCUAAAUAUUGGCCAGAGACCGAUAGCGCACAAGUAGAGUGAUCGAAAGAUGAAAAGCACUUUGGAAAGAGAGUUAAACAGUACGUGAAAUUGUUGAAAGGGAAGCGCUUGCAACCAGACUUGCGCGUUGCCGAUCAUCCGGGGUUCUCCCCGGUGCACUCGGCCUCGCUCAGGCCAGCAUCGGUUUUGGUGGUGGGAUAAAGGCCUUGGGAAUGUAGCUCCUUUCGGGGAGUGUUAUAGCCCUCGGUGCAAUGCCGCCUACCGGGACCGAGGACCGCGCUUCGGCUAGGGUGCUGGCGUAAUGGUUGUAAGCGAC
rnacentral:rRNA from 1 species